rnacentral:lncRNA from 1 species
UCCUCUUCUGCUCAGCUGAGUGGAAGGCAGCACCACAUCUCCCAUCCUGACCCACUGCCUGCCCUCGAUGCUCACCAGCUACUUGCAAACACUGGAGAGACACGCAAGCAUCGAGGAGUGUCUUCAGCAUUAUCUCUUGCUGAAUGCAGUGAAGUAUGGCUCUGUUUCUUGUCACUUUUGUCAGGAAGGAUCCAGUGUGCAUUCUGUGGAUUAAAGUCAAAACUGAAAGCACUUCUCCGUCCUCUCUUUCCCCAGAUCCAGCAGUUGUGGUGUUGCCUGUUUUGCUUUCUCUGCCUAAUCAUGCAGCAGCACAUUCUGGUGAGGGGCAAAGCAAACAAGCUGCUGAGGCAGACUGACAGGAUGAGAAAUGGAGAACAAGGAGCAGAGCCUAGCGAGGGAACCCGACACCCUAUGCGCUGGCCAGGGAACUUGCCUCUCUUCUCUUCGCUCUGUCGCAGCACGCUCGGCACCUCCAGGGCUCAGGUACCAAGUUUUCCAAGUCACGUUGUGCCAGGUCUCAGAGAGAAGCAGAGGUUCACUGAUUUAAAAGCACACACUGCUUCCCGGGUCUGAGCUUUAGCCAAAUUGUACAGAGGACUGGCCAUGAACAGAGGCAAAAUGACCAGCCAGGAGAAGCAAACCAUCUAAAAAUCACAUCCCGGUAAGUAAAAGGGUAAGUCUGAAAGAAGGAAAGCUUGUGACCAUUGGGAAGGAAAGAAGAGCUCCAGGGAUAACAUAAUAAUGAACAUCCUUCAGCCAGUUACAGCACACACACUUUGUCUGCAGAUCCUACACUUGAUGUUACUUAGUUUACAAUAUGCUCUCAAAAAAGCAAAAAGUGAGCCAUCGGAAUAAAUUGAAAAACCACUCUCUCUGUCCUCAAUCCUCGCUGACAGCACAGGUAAUGAUUUAUUUUCAUUUCUGUGUAUUUCAUGUCAGUCUGAUCAAUAUUCCCACCACUAAAAGCCUGAGGAGGAAUUUCAGUGCUAAAACAGCCAGACAAUAGGGGAGAGUUUAGGGUCCCCUCUCAACAACCAGUCCCAGGGUGCUUGCUGGUGGAAGGGAGGUGCCGAUAACCUGGGCAGAUAUUCAGGCUUCCGUUUGUUUUGC